CAGCUCCCUUCUGGACUAAAAGCACCAAGAUAAAAGUGAAGUAUUUUCAAGAUUUGCAAGGACAUUCAAAGGAUAGACUGUCACUGAACACGAAGCCAGACUAGCAGGCCAGUAAGCUCCAGGAAGCCUCCUGUCUCCACCUUCCCAGCCCUGGAAUUAAAGACAUAUGUCU